rnacentral:rRNA from 1 species
CUAAGUACUCGUGCAUGACCGAUAGCGAACAAGUACCGUGAGGGAAAGGUGAAAAGCACCCCGACAAGGGGAGUGAAAUAGAACCUGAAACCGGUUGCCUACAAGCAGUUGGAGGGCGCAAGCCUGACAGCGUACCUUUUGUAUAAUGGGUCAACGACUUAGUGUAACUAGCAAGCUUAAGCCGGUAGGUGUAGGCGCAGCGAAAGCGAGUGUUAAUAGCGCGAUCAUAGUUAGUUGCAUUAGACCCGAAACCGAGUGAUCUAGCCAUGAGCAGGUUGAAGGUUGGGUAACACCAACUGGAGGACCGAACCCGCAUCUGUUGCAAUAGAUUGGGAUGACUUGUGGCUAGGGGUGAAAGGCCAAUCAAACUCGGAGAUAGCUGGUUCUCCGCGAAAUCUAUUUAGGUAGAGCGUCGACCGAAUACCUCAGGGGGUAGAGCACUGGAUGGGCUAUGGGGACUCACCGUCUUACUGAUCCUAACCAAACUCCGAAUACCUGAGAGUACUAGUCGGCAGACACACGGCGGGUGCUAACGUCCGUCGUGAAAAGGGCAACAACCCUGACCUCCAGCUAAGGUCCCCAAGUCAUGGCUAAGUGGGAAAGGAUGUGAGGAUCCCAAAACAACCAGGAUGUUGGCUUAGAAGCAGCCAUCAUUUAAAGAAAGCGUAACAGCUCACUGGUCUAAAUAAGGGUCUUUGCGCCGAAAAUGUAACGGGGCUAAAGCCAUGCACCGAAGCUGAGGAUGUAUCGCAAGAUACGUGGUAGCGGAGCGUUCCGUAAGCCUGCGAAGGAGGACCCGUGAGGGCCUCUGGAGGUAUCGGAAGUGCGAAUGUUGACAUGAGUAACGAUAAAGAGGGUGAGAGACCCUCUCGCCGAAAGACCAAGGGUUCCUGCUUAAAGUUAAUCUGAGCAGGGUUAGCCGGCCCCUAAGACGAGGCGGACACGCGUAGUCGAUGGGAACCACGUUAAUAUUCGUGGGCCUGGUGGUAGUGACGGAUUGCGUAACUUGUUCAGACUUAUUGGAUUGUCUGGGCGGGGAAGCGGUUCCAGGAAAUAGCUCCACCGUAUAGACCGUACCCGAAACCGACACAGGUGGUCAGGUAGAGCAUACCAAGGCGCUUGAGAGAACUCUGCUGAAGGAACUCGGCAAAUUGCACGCGUAACUUCGGAAGAAGCGUGACCCCA